rnacentral:rRNA from 1 species
GAUAAACGCUGGCGGCGUGCAUAACACAUGCAAGUCGAACGAUGAAGCUUAACUGAUUUCUUCGGAAUGAUUUUAAGUGGAUUAGUGGCGGACGGGUGAGUAACGCGUGAGUAACCUGCCUUGCACAAGGGGAUAGCCGUUGGAAACGACGAAUAAUACCCUAUGAUAUAAACUCUUCGCAUGAAGGGCUUAUCAAAGAUUUAUCGGUGUAAGAUGGACUCGCGUCUGAUUAGCUAGUUGGUGGGGUAACAGCCUACCAAGGCAACGAUCAGUAGCCGGCUUGAGAGAGUGUACGGCCACAUUGGGACUGAGACACGGCCCAGACUCCUACGGGAGGCAGCAGUGGGGAAUUUUGCACAAUGGGGGAAACCCUGAUGCAGCGACGCCGCGUGAUUUAGAAGGCCUUCGGGUUGUAAAAAUCUUUUGUAUGGGAAGAAAAUGACAGUACCAUACGAAUAAGAACCGGCUAAUUACGUG